rnacentral:lncRNA from 1 species
UAGGAUGCUUUUCAUCUCUUGGGAGCCCCCACCCUCAGGCUUCGUCAAAAUCAACUUUAAUGACAGUAUCAGGGGGGUAGAGAUGAUACGGACGAUGUGUCCGGGGCCCUGAGGAUAGGCUACCGGCAGUUGGAGGAUCUCCUCUAUUUGAACCGUCAGUUCCUGGCAUGAAGCUUUAGGCCAUCUGGAUGGAUAUCACUUACACAUGACUGAGAAUGCAUGCGGAGA